GAUCCUGGCUCAGGAUGAACGCUAGCUACAGGCUUAACACAUGCAAGUCGAGGGGAAACGACAUCGAAAGCUUGCUUUUGAUGGGCGUCGACCGGCGCACUGGUGAGUAACGCGUAUCCAACCUGCCCACCACUUGGGGAUAACCUUGCGAAAGUAAGACUAAUACCCAAUGAUAUCUCUAGAAGACAUCUGAAAGGGAUUAAAGAUUUAUCGGUGAUGGAUGGGGAUGCGU
rnacentral:rRNA from 1 species